rnacentral:rRNA from 1 species
UACGAGGGGUCCAAGCGUUGUUCGGAAUCAUUGGGCGUAAAGCGGGUGUAGGCGGACUAUUAAGUCAGAAGUGAAAGCCCUGGGCUCAACCCAGGAAGUGCUUUUGAUACUGGUAGUCUUGAGUGUGCGAGAGGUUGGUAGAAUUCCUGGUGUAGUGGUGAAAUACGUAGAUAUCAGGAGGAACACCGGUGGCGAAGGCGGCCAACUGGCGCAACACUGACGCUCAGACCCGAAAGCGUGGGGAGCAAACAGG